rnacentral:tRNA from 2 species
CCUUCGAUAGCUCAGUUGGUAGAGCGGUGGACUGUAGAAAGUAUGAAAGUAUAGUAAUCCAUAGGUCACUGGUUCAAAUCCGGUUCGAAGGA